rnacentral:lncRNA from 1 species
ACGCUGGGAGCUGUAGACCGGAGCUGUUCCUAUUCGGCCAUCUUGUCUCCUCCCGUGUUUUCCAGGUGUAUUCCACAUUGUCUCUACUAGUGAACUAGGAUAAUCCAUUGUGUAUCUCAACCUCCUUCACUACCCUGUGAAAGUCACAUGUGAGAAGAAGCAUCACAGAUGAUUCCAUGGAGAACAUCCUGGAAGUUCUCCAAAUGAACUGGAAAUUCCCUGUCUCCCCUUAACCAGCACUGGAAGCAGAUGGGAAGAGAAUAGCUGUGACUGACUCACACUCUAACCCAGCAACCCUCAGCAUACAAGUGGGAGACCAUAAAGUUUUUCAAGACCCCAAAAGAGGCCAAAGGUCUGAUAAUUGCUGGGAGAAGGUCCACUAUCCAAGAAGAGAAGAGGAAAAGGAAUUAAAGUCUCCAAGCACUGGGGAUGCAAGAAGAGAGUUGCACAGGAGAGAAAGAAGAAGUUGUCCACGGGGUGACCCUGCAAUUGGAGGGAAAUGCAUGUGGAUAUGUGCAGGGAGUCUAGGAAGUGAAGCCUUAGUGAUCAUUUACAAGAAUGAGGGUUAGGUAAAAUAAGGGA